rnacentral:rRNA from 1 species
GACAGAGGGUGCAAACGUUGCUCGGAAUUACUGGGCGUAAAGCGCGCGUAGGUGGUUGCCCCAGUCGGAUGUGAAAGCCCAGGGCUCAACCCUGGAAGUGCAUACGAUACUAGGCAGCUGGAGUCCUGAAGAGGAGAGCGGAAUUCCCGGUGUAGAGGUGAAAUUCGUAGAUAUCGGGAGGAACACCAGUGGCGAAGGCGGCUCUCUGGGCAGGAACUGACACUGAGACGCGAAAGCGUGGGGAGCAAACAGG